CCCAAACCAACAAGCUUGCUUGUUGGGGUUGUAGGACACUCUGUACGGAGUUACAAAGGACGACAUUAGACGAAUCAUCUGGAAAGAUGAAUCAAAGAAGGUAAUAAUCCUGUAGUCGAAAAUGUUGUCUCUCUUGAGUGGAUCCUGAGUACGACGGAGCACGUGAAAUUCCGUCGGAAUCUGGGAGGACCAUCUCCUAAGGCUAAAUACUCUCUAGUGACCGAUAGUGAACCAGUACCGUGAGGGAAAGGUGAAAAGCACCCCGGAAGGGGAGUGAAAUAGAACCUGAAACCGUGUGCUUACAAGUAGUCAGAGCCCGUUAAUGGGUGAUGGCGUGCCUUUUGUAGAAUGAACCGGCGAGUUACGAUUUGAUGCAAGGUUAAGCAGUAAAUGUGGAGCCGUAGCGAAAGCGAGUCUGAAUAGGGCGUUUAGUAUUUGGUCGUAGACCCGAAACCAGGUGAUCUACCCUUGGUCAGGUUGAAGUUCAGGUAACACUGAAUGGAGGACCGAACCGACUUACGUUGAAAAGUGAGCGGAUGAACUGAGGGUAGCGGAGAAAUUCCAAUCGAACCUGGAGAUAGCUGGUUCUCUCCGAAAUAGCUUUAGGGCUAGCCUCAAGUGAUGAUUAUUGGAGGUAGAGCACUGUUUGGACGAGGGGCCCCUCUCGGGUUACCGAAUUCAGACAAACUCCGAAUGCCAAUUAAUUUAACUUGGGAGUCAGAACAUGGGUGAUAAGGUCCGUGUUCGAAAGGGAAACAGCCCAGACCACCAGCUAAGGUCCCAAAAUAUAUGUUAAGUGGAAAAGGAUGUGGCGUUGCCCAGACAACUAGGAUGUUGGCUUAGAAGCAGCCAUCAUUUAAAGAGUGCGUAAUAGCUCACUAGUCGAGUGACACUGCGCCGAAAAUGUACCGGGGCUAAACAUAUUACCGAAGCUGUGGAUUGUCCUUUGGACAAUGGUAGGAGAGCGUUCUAAGGGCGUUGAAGCAUGAUCGUAAGGACAUGUGGAGCGCUUAGAAGUGAGAAUGCCGGUGUGAGUAGCGAAAGACGGGUGAGAAUCCCGUCCACCGAUUGACUAAGGUUUCCAGAGGAAGGCUCGUCCGCUCUGGGUUAGUCGGGUCCUAAGCUGAGGCCGACAGGCGUAGGCGAUGGAUAACAGGUUGAUAUUCCUGUACCACCUAUAAUCGUUUUAAUCGAUGGGGGGACGCAGUAGGAUAGGCGAAGCGUGCGAUUGGAUUGCACGUCUAAGCAGUAAGGCUGAGUAUUAGGCAAAUCCGGUACUCGUUAAGGCUGAGC
rnacentral:rRNA from 1 species